AGCGAACGCUGGCGGCAGGCCUAACACAUGCAAGUCGAACGAACCUUUCGGGGUUAGUGUCGGUCGGGUGUGUAACACGUGGUAACGUGCGGUUAGGUACGGAAUAAUUCAGGGAAACUUGUGCUAAUACCGAAUGUGCCCUUGGGGGGUAAGAUUGCUCGCCUUUAGAUAGGCCGGCGUCAGAUUAGCUAGUUGGUUGAGGUAAUGGCACACCAAGGCGACGAUCAGUAGCUGGUCUGAGGGGAUGGUCCGCCACAUUGGGACUGAGACACGGCCCAAACUCCUACGGGAGGCAGAAGUGGGGAAUCUUGCGCAAUGGGCGAGAGCCUGACGCAGCCAUGCCGCGUGAAUGAGGAAGGUCUUAGGAUUGUAAAAUUCUGUCACCGGGGACGAUAAUGACGGUACCCGGAGAAGAAGCCCCGGCUAACUUCGUG
rnacentral:rRNA from 1 species